rnacentral:rRNA from 1 species
AGUGAACGCUGGCGGCAGGCCUAACACAUGCAAGUCGAACGGCAGCACAGUAAGAGCUUGCUCUUACGGGUGGCGAGUGGCGGACGGGUGAGGAAUACAUCGGAAUCUACUUUUUCGUGGGGGAUAACGUAGGGAAACUUACGCUAAUACCGCAUACGACCUACGGGUGAAAGCAGGGGAUCUUCGGACCUUGCGCGAUUGAAUGAGCCGAUGUCGGAUUAGCUAGUUGGCGGGGUAAAGGCCCACCAAGGCGACGAUCCGUAGCUGGUCUGAGAGGAUGAUCAGCCACACUGGAACUGAGACACGGUCCAGGCUCCUACGGGAGGCAGCAGUGGGGAAUAUUGGACAAUGGGCGCAAGCCUGAUCCAGCCAUACCGUGUGGGUGAAGAAGGCCUUCGGGUUGUAAAGCCCUUUUGUUGGGAAAGAAAAGCAGCAGGUUAAUACCCCGCUGUUCUGACGGUACCCAAAGAAUAAGCACCGGCUAACUUCGUG